rnacentral:rRNA from 1 species
UACAGAGGGUGCGAGCGUUGUUCGGAAUUACUGGGCGUAAAGCGCGUGUAGGCGGCCGCGCAAGUCGGGCGUGAAAUCCCACGGCUCAACCGUGGAAGUGCACUCGAAACUGCGCAGCUUGAGUCCUGGAGAGGAAGGUGGAAUGCUUGGUGUAGAGGUGAAAUUCGUAGAUAUCAGGAGGAACACCGGUGGCGAAGGCGGCCUUCUGGGCCUGUUCUGACGCUGAGGAGCGAAAGCGUGGGGAGCAAACAGG